rnacentral:rRNA from 1 species
CGGCGGACGGGUGAGUAACGCGUGGGUAACCUACCUCAUACAGGGGGAUAACAGUUGGAAACGGCUGCUAAUACCGCAUAAGCGCACAGUACCGCAUGGUACCGUGUGAAAAACUCCGGUGGUAUGAGAUGGACCCGCGUCUGAUUAGCUAGUUGGUGGGGUAACGGCCCACCAAGACGACGAUCAGUAGCCGACCUGAGAGGGUGACCGGCCACAUUGGGACUGAGACACGGCCCAG